CAAAGUUUGAUCCUGGCUCAGGACGAACGCUGGCGGCGUGCCUAAUACAUGCAAGUAGAACGCUGAAGAGAGGAGCUUGCUCUUCUUGGAUGAGUUGCGAACGGGUGAGUAACGCGUAGGUAACCUGCCUUGUAGCGGGGGAUAACUAUUGGAAACGAUAGCUAAUACCGCAUAACAAUGGAUGACACAUGUCAUUUAUUUGAAAGGGGCAAUUGCUCCACUACAAGAUGGACCUGCGUUGUAUUAGCUAGUAGGUGAGGUAACGGCUCACCUAGGCGACGAUACAUAGCCGACCUGAGAGGGUGAUCGGCCACACUGGGACUGAGACACGGCCCAGACUCCUACGGGAGGCAGCAGUAGGGAAUCUUCGGCAAUGGGGGCAACCCUGACCGAGCAACGCCGCGUGAGUGAAGAAGGUUUUCGGAUCGUAAAGCUCUGUUGUAAGUCAAGAACGAGUGUGAGAGUGGAAAGUUCACACUGUGACGGUAGCUUACCAGAAAGGGACGGCUAACUACGUGCCAGCAGCCGCGGUAAUACGUAGGUCCCGAGCGUUGUCCGGAUUUAUUGGGCGUAAAGCGAGCGCAGGCGGUUUGAUAAGUCUGAAGUUAAAGGCUGUGGCUCAACCAUAGUUCGCUUUGGAAACUGUCAAACUUGAGUGCAGAAGGGGAGAGUGGAAUUCCAUGUGUAGCGGUGAAAUGCGUAGAUAUAUGGAGGAACACCGGUGGCGAAAGCGGCUCUCUGGUCUGUAACUGACGCUGAGGCUCGAAAGCGUGGGGAGCGAACAGGAUUAGAUACCCUGGUAGUCCACGCCGUAAACGAUGAGUGCUAGGUGUUGGAUCCUUUCCGGGAUUCAGUGCCGCAGCUAACGCAUUAAGCACUCCGCCUGGGGAGUACGACCGCAAGGUUGAAACUCAAAGGAAUUGACGGGGGCCCGCACAAGCGGUGGAGCAUGUGGUUUAAUUCGAAGCAACGCGAAGAACCUUACCAGGUCUUGACAUCCCGAUGCUAUUUCUAGAGAUAGAAAGUUACUUCGGUACAUCGGUGACAGGUGGUGCAUGGUUGUCGUCAGCUCGUGUCGUGAGAUGUUGGGUUAAGUCCCGCAACGAGCGCAACCCCUAUUGUUAGUUGCCAUCAUUCAGUUGGGCACUCUAGCGAGACUGCCGGUAAUAAACCGGAGGAAGGUGGGGAUGACGUCAAAUCAUCAUGCCCCUUAUGACCUGGGCUACACACGUGCUACAAUGGUUGGUACAACGAGUUGCGAGUCGGUGACGGCAAGCUAAUCUCUUAAAGCCAAUCUCAGUUCGGAUUGUAGGCUGCAACUCGCCUACAUGAAGUCGGAAUCGCUAGUAAUCGCGGAUCAGCACGCCGCGGUGAAUACGUUCCCGGGCCUUGUACACACCGCCCGUCACACCACGAGAGUUUGUAACACCCGAAGUCGGUGAGGUAACCUUUUGGAGCCAGCCGCCUAAGGUGGGAUAGAUGAUUGGGGUGAAGUCGUAACAAGGUA
rnacentral:rRNA from 1 species